CGCGCUCCGGCGCGUCCCCGGAAUCUCCGCGCGUCGCCUCAGGGAGCGCUCGCCUCACGGAGGAGCUCGGGGUGGUGCCAACAGAUCCUCUUAAGGAUUAUCUGUCAGCUGUGUGCAAGCUGUUUGAGGUGCAUUUGAACCCUUUCAUGUCAGUACAUUGCUCUUCGGCAUGUCCCUUCCCUUUAUAAAUUCGGUAGACUAAGGUCUGGAUUUUGCAGAGAAUAACUGUGCAGCUGCUGUGGGUCAUCUUCUGCCCGAUUCCACCUUGUCAGUAAGUUACUUUGAAUAAAACUCUGUGAACUGUA